AUUGUCAGCACAUGAAAGGUGCCUCAGGGAGAGUGCAGUGACUGACAAGUGGUGACUGUGAGAUGCACAGGGAACAGAUGGAGCAGCUGGUGCGGUGCAUGAAAGGUCAAGUGCUGGGACUGAAGGUGUCCUGUUGCAGACAGGCCAGUGUCUCAGUGUGACCAUGAGAUUCAGCAGUCAGCCUUGCCCAGGUGUCCUCUCCAGUCUCCAGUGGACCUGGAAGUUGGAGGCAGAAGUGGGGGUGCCAGGAUCCACAUGUGUUACUGUGUGGUCCUGAGUGGAUUUGCCAUAACAAGUACAUUACUUAUGUCUGGUUUAUCAUACGAUGCUGGUCUUUAUAACUAAUCAUUAACCUUCUACACUAUUUUCCAUAAGCUUUACCCAUGGAUGAAAGAUUUUUUAACUUUUCCUCACAUGAUAGAUCUAGACUUUGAAAUAUUGAACUAAGGGGAAAAAACCUGGAAAGUAUGUUGAGAAGUACGCACAAUUGCUGCCCUGCCUAACUCUUCAGGUGACAAGUAGCUUUCUAAAGCUUGGAACUGUCAAAGGACUUCUGAGUAUGCUUCCAGCCACAAGUCAGUGCUGACAUCUUAACCAGUGUGUGGAGGAGGAGAGCAUUGGUUUCCACACUGAGGCAGCUCUGUGGUGGUUGUUCCUCUCAGGUACCCUCUACUGGUAAACUUGAACUAUACUGACAGACCAUAGCACAGCUAUGUCCCCAUUGUGCUGGAGUUUGUAUGAAUAGUUAGGAUGUUAAUACUACAUUUUUUUGCCUUCUUUCUCAUAGCUAAUGUCUAUGGAACUAGCUGUAUUACUUGUUUUUUGUUUUGUUUUUUAUUGUUAUAGCUCUGUUAAAUGGCCCCCCAAAUUUCCAGAUAGUAUCCCUAACUGCAACAGAAGAAUUUUAUGGAUCCUUAACUCACAAUAAGUUUGACUUUCAACAAUUUGUUCAGUGUGAAUAUUUUUAUGUCUUUUUCAUGCUUCCACUUACUUGAAACUCAGUUUAUUCUUAAAAACUGUCUAGUAGAACCAGCUUAUUAAGUGUUACUUUGGUAUGCAGUGAAAUGGUCAAUUAAGCAAUAUUGAAGAAAGAUACUUUGACUGUUUUGAAAUUUAUUAUGAAUCAUAAAACAAAAAUCAUUUCAUAGUAUUUCAGAGAUAAAGUCUCAACUGUUCUUAGUCCAGUAUGUCAGUAGAAUUUAUAGUGCAAAUAAAAUUUGCUUAAUUAAAAGAUUUUUUUUGAAAGUCCGUCUAUUAUCAGAAAGCACCAGGAAGAAGUUGUAUUAGUAGCUGCUGUUUUCAUUGGAAGAGUUUUUCAUUAAAUUUCUGUGUAAAAUCUAUUCUUAAUAAGAGAUUUUGUUUGUUUUCCAAACAUACUAUAUAGUAUGAUCUUUUGCAAUCGAAAUGGAUAAGGAAGAAACGAGUGAGGGCUGGUGAUGGUCUUAUAACCACUACAGAAACUCUGUGUUUAGUGCUGUAUCUUGUCUUCAUUCUCAUGUUGAUUAAUUACUAGAUGUUGUCAGUCAUGUCUCCAAUGAAAACAGGAGUGAUAGGGCUUUCUGAGUCAGUUGAUGAAUGAAUCAUACUAAUUUUUAGCAGUUUUUUCAUAUAAUUUUGUCUCCAUCUUUUCAGUAUGUUGACCAAGUUCUUCUAGGUGGUAAAGUUUGUGUUCCAGGUAUAUUGAGUUUAUGUAUUUAUCAUGUAUGCACUAUUGUUAGGUGAAAACAUACUUCAACUUGAUGGGCAGCUAUUAUUCAGUAUUCAUGUAUACUAAUGUUGAUAUAUAUUAGAUACUGUGUUUUACUAUACCUACAAGGUUAUACAAAAUUCUUUUCUUUUACUCAUGAGUUCCAUUUGUUUGGAUUUUUGGUUUGUUUAGAUUUUUUUUCUUCGUGUGUUAAAAAAUAUAGUUUAAUGCUUUUCCUGGUACCUUGCCCUUUGUUGGCAUAAUUGGAAUAUAAAUCGUUCAAAUCUCCACAAUUAAGAGUUUCAGAAAUAUGUGAUACUGGCCACUUGACUUAAUAAAGACUAGAUAUACAAAACAGGUAGAAAAAAAAUACCUAUUUCCUCACUAAAAACAAUUGAAUAUUUUUCUUAUUAUUAGCAAAUAUUAGUAAUAGCAUAGACUAUGAAUAAUUUCUAUAUGUUUUGGCAAGCACAUAGUGAGACAAUGCUUAUUACAGUAAGUACGCAUUUCAGUUAACUAACUGGGCACUGUAAUUCCAAUAGGGCUGUAAUGCAUGGAAACUCACUCUUCAGAUUCCUUAGAGCUGUAACCUGAGACAGUUGAAGGGCCCAUAGUUCAUUUGGGAGGUGUAGAUAGUAGUGAAGCUGAGGAAGCCUGGAAAGGAAAGGUGUACAGAGGGUGUGCUGUCAAGCUGGCUAACACUGCAGGAUGCUAGAACUGUAUUUCCUUUGUGCUACUCUGGAAAAACUAGAACACACAAUUCAGACAUACCUCAUGUGAAGAAUUGGGAUACAGAACUAGUUUGGGGCAGUGGUAGCUAUCCUGUACAGUGAACAGUUCUUGGCAACUUGUGAUCAAGAGCUGUAGCUGGACAUGAUGGCACAUGCUUGCAGUUCCAGCACCUGAGAGGUAGAAUCAGGAAGACCAGGAGUUUAGGGGGAACCUGGGCUACAUGGACUGUGUCC
ensembl:lincRNA D930016D06Rik RIKEN cDNA D930016D06 gene